UUCAACAACAAGUCCAUCCACAACUUCUGCAACUACAUCGUCACCAUCCACAUCAGCAACAAGCAGUCAAACAUCAAGUUCAACAGCAAGUCCAUCCACAACUUCUGCAACUACAUCAUCACCAACCACAUCAGCAACAACCAGUCAAACAUCUAGUUCAACAUCCACAAGUCCAUCCACAACUUCUGCAACUACAUCAUCACUAACCACAUCAGCAACAAGCAGUCAAACAUCAAGUUCAACAACAAAAAGUCCAUCCACAACUUCUGCAACUACAUCGUCACCAACGACAUCAGCAACAACCAGUCAAACAUCUAGUUCAACAUCCACAAGUCCAUCCACAACUUCUGCAACUACAUCAUCACUAACCACAUCAGCAACAACCAGUCAAACAUCAAGUUCAACAGCAAGUCCAUCCACAACUUCUGCAACUACAUCGACACCAACAUCAGCAACAACCAGUCAAACAUCAAGUUCAAGAACAAGUCCAUCCACAACUUCUGCAACUACAUUGUCACCAACAUCAGCAACAACCAGUCAAACAUCUAGUUCAACAUCCACAAGCCCAUCCACAACUUCUGCAACUACAUCGUCACCAACAGCAAGCAAUAACCAGUCAAACAUCUAGUUCAACAUCCACAAGUCCAUCCACAACUUCUGCAACUACAUCAUCACCAACCACAUCAGCAACAACCAGUCAAACAUCAAGUUCAACAACAAGUCCAUCCACAACUUCUGCAACUACAUCGUCACCAACAUCAGCAACAACCAGUCAAACAUCAAGUUCAAUAUCUACAAGUCCAUACACAACUUCUACAACUACAUCAUCACCAACCACGUCAGCAACAACCAGUCAAACAUCAAGUUCAACAUCAACAAGUCCAUCCACAACUUCUGCAACUACAUCGUCACCAACCACAUCAGCAACAACCAGUCAAACAUCAAGUUCAACAACAAGUCCAUCCACAACUUCUGCAACUACAUCAUCACUAACCACAUCAGCAACAAGCAGUCAAACAUCAAGUUCAACAACAAAAAGUCCAUCCACAACUUCUGCAACUACAUCGUCACCAACGACAUCAGCAACAACCAGUCAAACAUCAAGUUCAAGAACAAGUCCAUCCACAACUUCUGCAACUACAUUGUCACCAACAUCAGCAACAACCAGUCAAACAUCUAGUUCAACAUCCACAAGCCCAUCCACAACUUCUGCAACUACAUCGUCACCAACAGCAGCAAUAACCAGUCAAACAUCUAGUUCAACAUCCACAAGUCUAUCCACAACUUCUGCAACUACAUCAUCACCAACCACAUCAGCAACAAGCAGUCAAACAUCAAGUUCAACAACAACAAGUCCAUCCACAACUUCUGCAACUACAUCGUCACCAACGACAUCAGCAACAACCAGUCAAACAUCAAGUUCAAGAACAAGUCCAUCCACAACUUCUGCAACUACAUUGUCACCAACAUCAGCAACAAGCAGUCAAACAUCUAGUUCAACAUCCACAAGCCCAUCCACAACUUCUGCAACUACAUCGUCACCAACAGCAGCAAUAACCAGUCAAACAUCUAGUUCAACAUCCACAAGUCUAUCCACAACUUCUGCAACUACAUCAUCACCAACCACAUCAGCAACAAGCAGUCAAACAUCAAGUUCAACAACAACAAGUCCAUCCACAACUUCUGCAACUACAUCAUCACCAACCACAUCAGCAACAACCAGUCAAACAUCAAGUUCAACAUCUACAAGUCCAUCCACAACUACAUCGUCACCAACCACAUCAGUAACAACCAGUCAAACGUCUAGUUCAACAUCCACAAGUCCAUCCACAACUUCUGCAACUACAUCAUCACCAACCACAUCAGCAAUAACCAUUCAAACAUCUAGUUCAACAUCAACAAGUCCAUUCACAACUUCUGCAACUACAUCGUCACCAUCCACAUCAGCAACCAGCAGUCAAACAUCAAGUUCAACAGCAAGUCCAUCCACAACUUCUGCAACUACAUCAUCACCAACCACAUCAGCAACAACCAGUCAAACAUCUAGUUCAACAUCCACAAGUCCAUCCACAACUUCUGCAACUACAUCAUCACCAACCACAUCAGCAACAACCAGUCAAACAUCAAGUUCAACAUCUACAAGUCCAUCCACAACUACAUCGUCACCAACGACAUCAGCAACAACCAGUCAAACAUCAAGUUCAACAUCUACAAGUCCAUCCACAACUACAUCGUCACCAACGACAUCAGCAACAACCAGUCAAACAUCAAGUUCAAGAACAAGUCCAUCCACAACUUCUGCAACUACAUUGUCACCAACAUCAGCAACAACCAGUCAAACAUCUAGUUCAACAUCCACAAGUCCAUCCACAACUUCUGCAACUACAUCGUCACCAACAACAGCAGCAAUAACCAUUCAAACAUCUAGUUCAACAUCCACAAGUCCAUCCACAACUUCUGCAACUACAUCAUCACCAACCACAUCAGCAACAACCAGUCAAACAUCAAGUUCAACAACAAGUCCAUCCAGAACUUCUGCAACUACAUCGUCACCAACAACAUCAGCAACAAGCAGUCAAACAUCAAGUUCAACAUCAACAAGUCCAUCCACAACUUCUGCAACUACAUCGUCACCAACCACAUCAGCAAAAAGCAGUCAAACAUCAAGUUCAACAGCAAGUCCAUCCACAACUUCUGCAACAACAUCAUCACCAACCACAUCAGCAACAACCAGUCAAACAUCAAGUUCAACAUCAACAAGUCCAUUCACAACUUCUGCAACUACAUCGUCACCAACCACAUCAGCAACAAGCAGUCAAACAUCAAGUUCAACAGCAAGUCCAUCCACAACUUCUGCAACUACAUCGUCACCAACAUCAGCAACAAGCAGUCAAACAUCUAGUUCAACAUCCACAAGUCCAUCCACAACUUCUGCAACUACAUCGUCACCAACCACAUCAGCAACAACCAGUCAAACAUCAAGUUCAACAGCAAGUCCAUCCACAACUUCUGCAACAACAUCAUCACCAACCACAUCAGCAACAACCAGUCAAACAUCAAGUUCAACAUCAACAAGUCCAUUCACAACUUCUGCAACUACAUCGUCACCAUCCACAUCAGCAACCAGCAGUCAAACAUCAAGUUCAACAGCAAGUCCAUCCACAACUUCUGCAACUACAUCAUCACCAACCACAUCAGCAACAACCAGUCAAACAUCUAGUUCAACAUCCACAAGUCCAUCCACAACUUCUGCAACUACAUCAUCACCAACCACAUCAGCAACAACCAGUCAAACAUCAAGUUCAACAUCUACAAGUCCAUCCACAACUACAUCGUCACCAACGACAUCAGCAACAACCAGUCAAACAUCAAGUUCAACAUCUGCAAGUCCAUCCACAACUACAUCGUCACCAACGACAUCAGCAACAACCAGUCAAACAUCAAGUUCAAGAACAAGUCCAUCCACAACUUCUGCAACUACAUUGUCACCAACAUCAGCAACAACCAGUCAAACAUCUAGUUCAACAUCCACAAGUCCAUCCACAACUUCUGCAACUACAUCGUCACCAACAACAGCAGCAAUAACCAUUCAAACAUCUAGUUCAACAUCCACAAGUCCAUCCACAACUUCUGCAACUACAUCAUCACCAACCACAUCAGCAACAACCAGUCAAACAUCAAGUUCAACAACAAGUCCAUCCACAACUUCUGCAACUACAUCGUCACCAACAUCAGCAACAACCAGUCAAACAUCAAGUUCAAUAUCUACAAGUCCAUCCACAACUUCUGCAACUACAUCAUCACCAACCACAUCAGCAACAAGCAGUCAAACAUCAAGUUCAACAUCAACAAGUCCAUCCACAACUUCUGCGACUACAUCGUCACCAUCCACAUCAGCAACAAGCAGUCAAACAUCAAGUUCAACAGCAAGUCCAUCCACAACUUCUGCAACUACAUCAUCACCAACCACAUCAGCAACAACCAGUCAAACAUCAAGUUCAACAUCUACAAGUCCAUCCACAACUACAUCGUCACCAACGACAUCAGCGACAACCAGUCAAACAUCAAGUUCAAGAACAAGUCCAUCCACAACUUCUGCAACUACAUUGUCACCAACAUCAGCAACAACCAGUCAAACAUCUAGUUCAACAUCCACAAGCCCAUCCACAACUUCUGCAACUACAUCGUCACCAACAGCAGCAAUAACCCGUCAAACAUCUAGUUCAACAUCCACAAGUCUAUCCACAACUUCUGCAACUACAUCAUCACCAACCACAUCAGCAACAAGCAGUCAAACAUCAAGUUCAACAACAAGUCCAUCCACAACUUCUGCAACUACAUCAUCACCAACCACAUCAGCAACAACCAGUCAAACAUCAAGUUCAACAUCUACAAGUCCAUCCACAACUACAUCGUCACCAACCACAUCAGUAACAACCAGUCAAACGUCUAGUUCAACAUCCACAAGUCCAUCCACAACUUCUGCAACUACAUUGUCACCAACAUCAGCAACAACCAGUCAAACAUCUAGUUCAACAGCAAGUCCAUCCACAACUUCUGCAACUACAUCGUCACCAACAUCAGCAACAAGCAGUCAAACAUCUAGUUCAACAUCCACAAGUUCAUCCACAACUUCUGCAACUACAUCAUCACCAACCACAUCAGCAACAAGUAGUCAAACAUCAAGUUCAACAACAAGUCCAUCCACAACUUCUGCGACUACAUCGUCACCAACAACAUCAGCAACAAGCAGUCAAACAUCAAGUUCAACAACAAGUCCAUCCACAACUUCUGCAACUACAUCGUCACCAACCACAUCAGUAACAACCAGUCAAACAUCUAGUUCAACAUCCACAAGUCCAUCCACAACGUCUGCAACUACAUCGUCACCAACCACAUCAGCAACUUCAGGUGUUGAGCCAAUCUAUAUUGUUUCAGCAACUUUACCUCAAGAGAUUUUUCGAGAAGAACUCACUAACCCCAACAGCACAACAUACAAAGAACUUGAAAGUCGAGUAAUAGACACGUGUACACCUAUCUACACAAGAAAAUAUGGAAAGAGAUUUGUCCGCUGCUUUGUGAAACAAUUCCGCCGUGCUGUGCGUCUACAAGUACGAGAAGAUGCAACUGCAGCUGAUAUUGGGGUUGUGCUCCGCAACAAUAUCCCCAUUUCUGACCUCCCAAAUAAUGACGAAGUUGCUGAAACUUUAGUAACUGCAGCAAAUAGCAAUGAGACCUUAGGUGUGGUUCUGUCUGCAUCCUCGAUUCAAACUAUAUCUGGUCCAGUUCCUGCAACUGCAACAACCACAGUUGCAGCAACUACAAUUUCUGUCAUGACAACCACCACAUCUGCAGCUGUUACAACAACUUCAAGCGGAGUCUACCAGAACAUCACUGCAUUCUCUCUGGUACUGUUGUUAUGGUUACUGUCAAACCACCAAUAAAAUCCUGAUUAUUGUCAUUGAUUGACAGCAUCCAGCAACACUUUAAUAGCAGUGCGCAUAAUAAUAAUAUAUAUGUUUAUGUUAUAUUGAAAACUGUUCUGCAUUCUCCUGAUUUAUAAAGUUAACAUUAUAGACCUCCUUUUUACUAUGUUACAAUACUAUCACUGAGAAAAGAAAUGAAGUGAUAGAUGACAACAAUCACUGUUCUUGAAAUUAUCCAUCCAUCCAUCCAUCCUCUAUCGCUUAUCCGGGGUUGGGUCGCGGGGGCAGCAGCCUAAGGAGAGAAGCCCAGACUUCCCUCUCCCCAGCUACUUCUUCCAGCUCGUUCGGGGGGAUCCCCAGGCGUUCCCAGACCAGCCGAGAGACAUAGUCUCUCCAACGUGUCCAGGGUCUUCCCGGGGGUCUCCUACCAGAGGGACAUGCCCUGAACACCUCACCAGGGAGGCGUCCAGGGGGCAUCCUAACUUGAUUCCCAAGCCACCUCAUCUGGCUCCUCUCAACGCGGAGGAGCAGCGACUCUACUCCGAGCUCCUCCCGGAUGGCAGAGCUUCUCACCCUAUCUCUAAGGGAGGGCCCAGCCACCCUAUGGAGGAAGCUCAUUUCGGCCGCUUGUACCCGUGAUCUUGUUCUUUCGGUCAUUACCCAAAGCUCAUGACCAUAGGUGAGGGUAGGAACGAAGAUCGACGGGUAAAUCGAGAGCUUUGCCUUUCGGCUCAGUUCCCUCUUCACCUCUACGGACUGGUGCAGAGUCCGCAUUACUGCGGGUGCUGCACUGAUCCGCCUGUUGAUCUCCCGCUCCAUUCUUCCCUCACUCAUGAACAAGACCCCAAGGUGCUUGAACUCCUCCACUUGGGGCAGGAUCUCCUCCUUGACCCGGAGAAGGCACUCCACCUUUUUCCGGUUGAGAACCAUGACCUCGGAUUUGGAGGUGCUAAUUUUCAUCAAAGCUGCUUCACAUGCGGCGGCAAAACGAUCCAGUGAUAGUUGGAGGUCACGGGCCGAUGACGCCAACAGGACCACAUCAUCCGCAAAAAGCAGAGACCCGAUCCUGAGGUCACCAAACUGGACCCCCUCAACACCAUGACUGCACCUAGAAAUUCUGUCCAUAAAAAUUAUGAACAGAAUCGGUGACAAAGGGCAGCCCUGGCGGAGACCAACCCUCACCAGAAACGAGGUUGACUUACUGCCAGCAAUGCAGACCAAACUCUGGCACCGAUCGUACAGGGAGCGGACGGCCGGUAUCAGCGGGCCCGACAUCCCAUACUCAGAGAACCCCCGACAGGACCCCUUGAGGGACACGGUCGAAUGCCUUCUCCAAGUCCACAAAACACAUGUGGACUGGUUGGGGAAACUCCCAUGCACCCUCGAAGACCCUGCCGAGGGUGUAGAGCUGGUCCACUGUUCCACGCCCAGGACGAAAACCAUAUUGCUCCUCCUGAAUCCGAGGUUCGACUAUCCGGCGGACCCUCCUCUCCAGUACCCCUGAAUAGACCUUACCAUGGAGGCUGAGGAGUGUGAUAGUUGGAACACACCCUCCGGUCCCCCUUCUUAAAAAGAGGGACUACCACCCCGGUCUGCCAAUCCAGCGGCGCUGCCCCCGAUGUCCACGCGAUGUUGCAGAGUCGAGUCAACCACGACAGCCGUACAACAAAAAUUAUAAAAUUAUGUUUAUUUUAAAAAGCAUGUUAAAUGAUAUAUUUUAUUUUUGAGACUUAUGUAUUUAAUCCUACUAAUCAAGAUGCUGUGAAAUCUUGUAAAACAUGAAAAGGUCAGAAUAAACAAAAAUGACUAAUUUUUAGUUUUUCUCAUGUUUUCCCUCAUCAUUAAAACACAAUUGUGAUUUAUACCAGCCAAUCAGACUGGUUGAUUCACCAUUGUUCAUUGGAAUAAAUUGGUAUACAAAUUGCUGAAUCUGUUACCAAGCAACAGCAACUAAACCGGAAACAACUGUCACAGUUGAGACUGUCAAAAAAACAUUGGUUGUGUCUCAGUUUGCGAACUUCUCGACCCACGCAAUCUCACACUUCACUCACUCAACAGCUAAAAUGACAGUUCCAAGACAAUAUUUACAAUAUUUGCCAAUGUUUAUCAAGUAUUGAUCAGAUGUAAGUGGUGUGGAAUUGGGACAGCUAGGUAUCCCGCAUUUCGCCUUAGACAGCAUUAGCAGCAAUGACUUCUUCAAACUAUUAACCCCAAGCAUGUACUCCAGAAUUUCACAAAAUCAUGCGAAGCAGCUGCUUCUUUAUCCACCAUUGCAACAAUUAUUACCAUUGCUUCCAAACCAGCUGAAGCUCCAAUGACUAUUGACAAAUAAGGAACCAACAAUUUGGCUUUGGUUUGAAUCAAAGUGACUUUGAACACACCUGACCUUGAAAGCUUAGUACCUGUCAAAUCACCAUGACAUCUUUGAACUUUAGUUGUUGUCAAUGAGCUAAUACACUGGGUAUCUGAAUUAGCUCUAUGAUCUUAGGGUCCAGGCCCCAAGUGGCACAAAGGUCCUUUGUCUCCUACUGUCCUUCCCCACCUUCCUGUGCUCCUUUGUUUAAAUAUUGCAGAUUCCCAUCCUGAUUAUUAUUAUUUGUCUAUAUUUGCAUCCAGCCUGAUCAUUACCUUUUGUUCAUUGUGCGGUAACCCAAAAUGACUCAGACUGUCAGUCAGUUCACCAAGGUGCGGUCUACUUUGUAACAGAAUCACAUGCCACAGCAAACCUCUAACUCUGGGCCAUUCAAUUUGCGGCCCCCGGGCCGGGUCUGGCUCCUUAAAAAAUUUUGUACUGGCCCUCAGAGUGUACUGUAAUUAUGAUGGAGAGUCCCAUAUAUCUCUUAUUCUUUUAACUCAUGGUGGAAACACAGGUAGAAUAUACCUGUUCUUGCUGAACAUAUAAUUUGGAGGACCUCAAAUGACCAAUCAGAAAUUACUAUUCGUGGCGCGGUCUGGUGCAGCGCUCUGACUUGUAUCUUUCGAAUAU
ensembl:lncRNA